rnacentral:rRNA from 1 species
AACGAACGCUGGCGGCAUGCCUAAUACAUGCAAGUCGAACGAGAUCUUCGGAUCUAGUGGCGCACGGGUGCGUAACGCGUGGGAAUCGGCCCUUGGGUUCGGAAUAACAGCUGGAAAAGGCUGCUAAUACCGGAUGAGGACGUAAGUCCAAAGAUUUAUCGCCCAAGGAUGAGCCCGCGUAGGAUUAGCUAGUUGGUGGGGUAAAGGCCUACCAAGGCGACGAUCCUUAGCUGGUCUGAGAGGAUGAUCAGCCACACUGGGACUGAGACACGGCCCAGACUCCUACGGGAGGCAGCAGUAGGGAAUAUUGGACAAUGGGGGCAACCCUGAUCCAGCAAUGCCGCGUGAGUGAUGAAGGCCUUAGGGUUGUAAAGCUCUUUUACCCGAGAUGAUAAUGACAGUAUCGGGAGAAUAAGCUCCGGCUAACUCCGUGCCAGCCGCCGCGGUAACAC